rnacentral:rRNA from 1 species
GACGAACGCUGGCGGCGUGCCUAACACAUGCAAGUCGAACGGGGUAAGAAGCUUCGGUUUCUUACUUAGUGGCGAACGGGUGAGUAACGCGUGAGAAACCUGCCUUUCAGUGGGGGACAACAGUUGGAAACGACUGCUAAUACCGCAUAAUGUUAUUUGAGGGCAUCCUCGAAUAAACAAAGACUUAUUGUCUGAAAGAUGGUCUCGCGUCUGAUUAGCUAGAUGGCGGGGUAACGGCCCGCCAUGGCGACGAUCAGUAGCCGGUCUGAGAGGAUGAACGGCCACAUUGGGACUGAGAUACGGCCCGGAGUCCUACGGGAGGCAGCAGUGGGGAAUAUUGGGCAAUGGGGGAAACCCUGACCCAGCAACGCCGCGUGAAGGAAGAAGGCCUUCGGGUUGUAAACUUCUUUUAGCAGGGACGAAUUCUGACGGUACCUGCAGAAAAAGCAACGGCUAACUACGUGCCAGCCGCCGCCGUAACAC